UACGUAGGGGGCUAGCGUUGUCCGGAUUUAUUGGGCGUAAAGAGCGUGUAGGCGGCCAGGUAGGUCUGCUGUGAAAAACUCGAGGCUCAACCUCGAGACGUCGGCGGAAACCAUCUGGCUAGAGUCCGGAAGAGGAGACUGGAAUUCCUGGUGUAGCGGUGAAAUGCGCAGAUAUCGGGAGGAACACCAGUAGCGAAGGCGGCUCGCUGGGCCACACCUGACGCUGAGACGCGAAAGCUAGGGGAGCGAACAGG
rnacentral:rRNA from 1 species